UACGUAGGGUGCGAGCGUUAAUCGGAAUUACUGGGCGUAAAGCGUGCGCAGGCGGCUUAGCAAGACAGAUGUGAAAUCCCCGGGCUCAACCUGGGAACUGCAUUUGUGACUGCAAGGCUAGAGUACGGCAGAGGGGGAUGGAAUUCCGCGUGUAGCAGUGAAAUGCGUAGAUAUGCGGAGGAACACCAAUGGCGAAGGCAAUCCCCUGGGCCUGUACUGACGCUCAUGCACGAAAGCGUGGGGAGCAAACAGG
rnacentral:rRNA from 1 species